GACGUAGGGGGCCAGCGUUGUUCGGAAUUACUGGGUGUAAAGGGUUCGUAGGCGGUGCGGCAAGUUGGGAGUGAAAUCUCUGGGCUUAACCCAGAGGCUGCUUCCAAAACUGCUGUGCUUGAGUGUGGGAGAGGCGCGUGGAAUUGCAGGUGUAGCGGUGAAAUGCGCAGAUAUCGGGAAGAACACCCGUGGCGAAGGCGGUUCUCUGGGACGGUACUGACGCUGAGACGCGAAAGCGUGGGGAGCGAACGGGG
rnacentral:rRNA from 1 species